rnacentral:rRNA from 1 species
AUUGAACGCUGGCGGAAUGCUUUACACAUGCAAGUCGAACGGCAGCACGGGGGCAACCCUGGUGGCGAGUGGCGAACGGGUGAGUAAUACAUCGGAACGUGCCCAGUUGUGGGGGAUAACUACUCGAAAGAGUAGCUAAUACCGCAUGAGAACUGAGGUUGAAAGCAGGGGAUCGUAAGACCUUGCGCAACUGGAGCGGCCGAUGGCAGAUUAGGUAGUUGGUGGGAUAAAAGCUUACCAAGCCGACGAUCUGUAGCUGGUCUUAGAGGACGACCAGCCACACUGGGACUGAGACACGGCCCAGACUCCUACGGGAGGCAGCAGUGGGGAAUUUUGGACAAUGGGCGAAAGCCUGAUCCAGCAAUGCCGCGUGCAGGAUGAAGGCCUUCGGGUUGUAAACUGCUUUUGUACGGAACGAAAAGCUUCGGGUUAAUACCCUGGAGUCAUGACGGUACCGUAAGAAUAAGCACCGGCUAACUACGUGCCAGCCGCCGCAGUAA